rnacentral:tRNA from 1 species
GUUAUUUUGGCAGAUUAGUGCUAUAGAUUUAGAUUCUUUAUAUGUAAUUUAUUACAAAUAAUA